UGUUGAAAGUGUGCAGGAAAGAGAACUUGUCCUUCUUGUGCACAGCCCUCUGCAUCUGAAGAGCUGAGCUGAGGAGCCUCCUUCACAGCUGGACCCGAUUUAGAUGUUAAUAUCCUGGACUUCAAACCAACGCCUUAAUGGAAUUAGACUUUGGGGGAAGGUGCGAGCGUAUUUUACAUGUGGGAGAGAAGUGACUGUGGUAGAUUGUCUCCAAACAUGGCUUUCAUCAAUUCCUUCCCUCCCUGGACACACACACCCUUCCUCUAUCAAGAGUGAUGAUGAACGGCAGCCAUCCCUGGAAAGGCAUAUUCACAGCCGAGUGAACGCGCAGAGUGUCGUUACAGUGUCUCCUCUUCCCUACCUGUGUCACAUGGCCUCCUCCACUGCGGUCUCAAGGGCGUGUUUGGAGGAGAACCUGAGGUUUUACUCGGAGAUAAAAGGAAGUCUCUAUUUGGAUGGAUUAAGGAAUUGGAGCUUGGUGGUCCUAACCUCCGUCGGGUGAGUUCUCCCUUCUUUCCUUCCUUCGUGCAAUGCAGGUGUUACAAAUAGCUAAGUCUUGUUCUUAAGUGCAGAGUCUGGGAUCAUAGUUCCACAACAGUUUACUACCAGCUGGCUGUAUAGAUCUCAAACUUUCCCCCUGACUAGUCCUUAUAUCCCUGCAUUGUCCCU